rnacentral:rRNA from 1 species
AUUGAACGCUGGCGGCGUGCCUAACACAUGCAAGUCGAGCGGUAACAGGUGUAGCAAUACAUGCUGACGAGCGGCGAACGGGUGAGUAAUGCUUCGGAAUCUGCCCAUGUAGUGGGGAAUAACCAGCCGAAAGGUUGGCUAAUACCGCAUACGACCUACGGGUGAAAGCAGGGGAUCGCAAGACCUUGCGCUAUUGGAUGAGCCGAAGUCGGAUUAGCUUGUUGGUAGGUAACGGCCUACCAAGGCGACGAUCCGUAGCUGAUCUGAGAGGACGACCAGCCACACUGGGACUGAGACACGGCCCAGACUCCUACGGGAGGCAGCAGUGGGGAAUAUUGGACAAUGGGGCAACCCUGAUCCAGCGACGCCGCGUGUGUGAAGAAGGCCUGCGGGUUGUAAAGCACUUUUAGUGGGAUGAAAAGCACACGGCUAAUAUCCGUGUGUCUUGACCUAACC